GAGUGCGUAAUAGCUCACUGGUCGAGUGACUCUGCGCCGAAGAUUUAACGGGGCUAAACCAUACACCGAAGCUUAGGAAUAUACUUUUAGUAUGUUGGUAGGAGAGCGUCGUAUACGGGGUGAAGUUAUAGCGGAAGCGAUAGUGGACUGUAUAGGAGUGAGAAUGCCGGAAUGAGUAGCGAGAAUUAUGUGAGAAUCAUAAUGGCCGAAAGACUGAGGUUUUAGAAGGAAGGUUCGUCCGCUUCUAGUUAGCCGGGGGCUAAGGCGAGGCCGAGAGGCGUAGUCGAUGCACAUACGGUAGAGAUUCCGUAGCCACCUUGAAUUUAAACUGAGGGACACAUUGAAAGGGUAUAUCCCGGGCGUUGGUUGACCCGGGCGUAAGGGAGCUAACAUAUCAGCGAAGUAUACUUGGACAGUGGCGAGAAAAGCUCAGUGUAUAUAGUCAGGGUGCCCGUACUGCAAACCGACACAGGUAGUCAGGAAGAGAAUUCUAAGGCCAACGGGAGAAGGGUAGUUAAGGAACUCGGCAAAUUGACCCCGUAACUUCGGAAUAAGGGGUGCUCACGAGAGUGAGCCGCAGUGAAUAGGUCCAGGCAACUGUUUAUCAAAAACACAGCUCUCUGCUAAAUCGUAAGAUGAUGUAUAGGGGGUGACACCUGCCCGGUGCUGGAAGGUUAAGAGGAGGAGUGCAAGCUCCGAAUUGAAGCCCCAGUAAACGGCGGCCGUAACUAUAACGGUCCUAAGGUAGCGAAAUUCCUUGUCGGGUAAGUUCCGACCCGCACGAAUGGUGUAAUGAUCUGGACACUGUCUCAACAAUCCACCCGGCGAAAUUGUAGUACCGGUGAAGAUGCCGGUUACCCGCGGCAAGACGGAAAGACCCCAUGGAGCUUCACUGCAACUUGAUAUUGGGUUUCGGUAUUCUAUUUACAGGAUAGGCGGGAGACUGGGAAGCAAGCACGCCAGUGUUUGUGGAGUCAUCCUUGGGAUACCGCUACUAGAGUAUUGGAAUUCUAACCUGCGGCCUUGAAUCAGGUCGGGGGACAUUGUCAGGUGGGCAGUUUGACUGGGGCGGUCGCCUCCAAAAGAGUAACGGAGGCGUUCAAAGGUUCACUCAGCAUGGACGGAAACCAUGCCUUAGAGUGCAAACGCAUAAGUGAGCCUAACUGCGAGACUGACGGGUCGAGCAGUAACG
rnacentral:rRNA from 1 species